AUUGAAAGCUGGCGGUAGGCCUAACACAUGCAAGUCGAACGAGAGGCUGACGGGUGAGUAAUGACUGGGAAACUGCCCGAUGGAGGGGGAUAACUAAUGGAAACGGUAGCUAAUACCGCAUACCAUCGGAUGUGCCCAGAUGGGAUUAGCUAGUAGGUGGGGUAACGGCUCACCUAGGCGACGAUCCCUAGCUGGUCUGAGAGGAUGAACAGCCACACUGGAACUGAGACACGGUCCAGACUCCUACGGGAGGCAGCAGUGGGGAAUAUUUCACAAUGGGCGCAAGCCUGAUGCAGCCAUGCCGCGUGUAUGAAGAAGGCCUUCGGGUUGUAAAGUACUUUCAGCGGGGAGGUGUUACCCGCAGAAGAAGCACCGGCUAACUCCGUGCCAGCAGCCGCGGUAAUUC
rnacentral:rRNA from 1 species